rnacentral:rRNA from 1 species
CCGAAGUGGAAUCCAACUUAAUUAAUAAGUCAAUAUAGUCUAUUGGUACCGGGGUCUAUGAAGAACGCGGCGCACUGCGAUAUGUAAUGUGAAUUGCGGAAUUCAGUGAAUCAUCGAGUCUUUGAACGCACAUUGCGCCCCCUGGCAUUCCGGGGGGCAUGCCUGUCCGAGCGUCAUUGCUGCCCUUCAAGCCCGGCUUGUGUGUUGGGUCGUCGUCCCCCCUGGGGGACGGGCCCGAAAGGCAGCGGCGGCACCGCGUCCGGUCCUCGAGCGUAUGGGGCUUUGUCACCCGCUCGAUUAGGGCCGGCCGGGCGCCAGCCGGCGUCUCCAACCUUCUAUUUUACCAGGUUGACCUCGUAUCAGGAAGGGAUACCCGCUGAACUUAAGCAUAUCAAUAAGCGGAGGAACGGUGAUUCCCACACUCGACAGCAAAAUCGCCUCUAGGCGGUAAGUUCAGAAU